rnacentral:rRNA from 1 species
GCUUUGUUCGGAAUUACUGGGCGUAAAGGGAGCGUAGGCGGAUAGUUUAGUCAGAGGUGAAAGCCCGAAGC